CGUAAACAGAGGGAAGCGAGCCCGCGAGGGGGAGCGAAUCCCAAAAAACAAACGUCCCAGUUCGGAUUGUAGUCUGCAACCCGACUACAUGAAGCCGGAAUCGCUAGUAAUCGCGGAUCAGAAUGCCGCGGUGAAUACGUUCCCGGGACUUGUACACACCGCCCGUCACACCAUGGGAGUCGGAAAUGCCCGAAGUCUGUGACCCAACCGUAAGGAGGGAGCAGCCGAAGGCAGGUCGGAUGACUGGGGUGAAGUCGUAACAAGGUAAC
rnacentral:rRNA from 1 species